rnacentral:lncRNA from 1 species
UGGAUAUAUUUCUUUAUAAAGUUUGGUAACACUAAUCUAAAUAUAAAUGAAAUAUGAAUUGGCGACGAUAAUAAAUUAUAAAAAAUUAAAGUGAAGUUUAUCAACAACAUUAUUAUAAUUUUAAAUUAAAAUAUUCAAAACAUUGACUUUCGAUCAAUGUUUACUUCAUGAAGUGUCUUAACUAAGUAAAUCGAAAAUUGUUUAUACACAACAAAAAACGUAUAAAUUUUGUAAAUCUACAAAAUGUCUGAUUUUAUUGAAAAUGAAGCUGAAGAAUCAUCUGAUGAAGAAGAAAUAUUAAAUAAAAAAAGAAGGAUAGAAUCAGAUGAUGAGGAAAAUGAAACAGUAUUACCAUCAAGACGAAGAAAUGACGAUGAUGAUGAAGAGGAUGAAGAAGAAGAAGAUGAUGAAGAUAGAUUACGAGAAGAAAUGAAAGAUUUAAUUAAUGAUGAC